rnacentral:rRNA from 1 species
UACGUAGGGUGCAAGCGUUGUCCGGAAUUAUUGGGCGUAAAGGGCUCGUAGGCGGUCCAUCGCGUCGGGGAGUGAAAAGCUGGGGCUUAACCCCAGUCCUGCUUCCGAUACGGGUGGACUAGAGGUAGGUAGGGGAGAACGGAAUUCCUGGUGUAGCGGUGAAAAUGCGCAGAUAUCAGGAGGAACACCGGUGGCGAAGGCGGUUCUCUGGGCCUUACCUGACGCUGAGGAGCGAAAGCAUGGGGAGCAAACAGGA